CGCCUCUUGACUAAACAUAAGAGGUCCAGCCUGCCCAGUGACAUAGUUUAACGGCCGCGGUACCCUAACCGUGCGAAGGUAGCAUAAUCACUUGUUCUUUAAAUAGGGACUUGUAUCAACGGCAUCACGAGGGCUGUACUGUCUCCUUUCUCCAAUCAGUGAAAUUGAUCUCCCCGUGAAGAAGCGGGGAUGAACCUAUAAGACGAGAAGACCCCAUGGAGCUUUAAACCCAUCAUACACCUCUGUAUAUUUAAAUCAACAUAACCCAAGAGGCUGUAUGCUGGUUUUAGGUUGGGGGGACCGCGGAGUAAAACUAAACCUCCACGACAGACGGGCUAACACCCUUAUUUACGAACCACAAUUCUAAAAACCAAUAAAUUGUUGUCUAGUGACCCAAUAUUUGAUCAACGAACCAAGUUACCCUGGGGAUAACAGCGCAAUCUACUUCAAGAGCCCCUAUCGACAAGUGGGUUUACGACCUCGAUGUUGGAUCAGGGUGUCCUAGUGGUGCAGCCGCUACUAAAGGUUCGUUUGUUCAACGAUUAAAACCCU
rnacentral:rRNA from 1 species